AGGUGCAUGUGCUGCUGCUGGACGACCUGCUGCUGCUGCUCCAGCGCCAGGACGAGCGGCUGCUGCUCAAGUCCCAUAGCCGGACACUGACGCCCACGCCCGAUGGCAAGACCAUGCUGCGGCCCGUGCUGCGGCUCACCUCCGCCAUGACCCGCGAGGUGGCCACCGCUGGUGUGCUCUCAUCACUGAGACUGCCGGAUCCCUGAAAGUCCCUGCCCCUGCCUCUCGCCCUAAGCCCCGGCCCAGCCCGAGCAGCACCCGAGAACCCCUCCUCAGCAGCUCUGAGAACGGCAAUGGUGGCCGAGAGACGUCUCCAGCUGAUGCCCGGACCGAGAGAAUCCUCAGUGACCUCCUGCCCUUCUGCAGACCAGGCCCCGAGGGCCAGCUCGCUGCCACGGCCCUUCGGAAAGGUAGCCCAGCUCUGCCCC
rnacentral:lncRNA from 1 species